ACCCAUCCUGGGAAGGAGCCCGGAGUGUGAGAGAGAGGCUCCCCCACACCCAUCCUGGGAAGGGGCCCAGAGUGUGAGCUGACUGGUGGGUGGGGGGCCAGGGAUGGGCUGUGGGCCUCGCCCUCUUCUGAAGGGUCCGCCCUUGAGUGCUGGGCGACUGAGAGGGCGGUUCACACCCUUGCCCUCAUCUGCUGAGGAUGCUCUCACAGAGUGCCGUACUUCUGUGACAGGAGCUUGUGAUCCAGCCAUAUACCCUGUUUCUCCUUCCUUCUAGGUCCGAGCUAUACCUGUGGACAUUGGUUUCUCCAUUGAAGAGCUGGAGGACCUUUACAUGGUGUUUAAGGCCAAGCACCUGGCUAGCCAGUACUGGGGGUGCAGCCGCACAAUGGCCGGCCGUCGGGACCCCAGCCUGCCCUACCUGGAGCAGUACCGGAUUGAUGCCAGCCAGUUCCGGGAACUCUUUGCCAGCCUGACACCCUGGGCCUGCGGCUCCCACACGCCUGUGCUGGCAGGGCGCAUGUUCAGGCUCCUGGACAAAAACAAGGACUCGCUGAUCAACUUCAAGGAGUUCGUGACGGGGAUGAGCGGGAUGUACCACGGGGACCUGACAGAGAAGCUCAAGGUGCUCUACAAGCUACACCUUCCCCCAGCUCUGAGCCCAGAGGAAGCCGAGUCAGCCCUGGAGGCGGCCCAUUAUUUCACAGAGGACAGCUCCUCAGAAGGUGAGCGGCCACUGGAACACCUGACAUGCCCAGCCAGCGCUCUGCAGCCACCGCAGCCUUCCUGUGGGGCUCGGGCAGUAGCCAGCAGUCCCACCUGGGCUCAGGGAGCAGGCCGCAUGGGGUUCUUCCCAGGGGACCACGGGCUGGGCCCUGCCAUGCUGGCGGGGGCUGGGGCUGCCCCCUGUGGAUGUCCUCACUCCUGUUUCUCUUGUGUCUCUGUCUUCCUGGACCUUGGCUCCUCCCCCGUCUGCCCCUCUGCCUCUCCUCUGCUGUCCCUUCCAGCAUCUCCUCUGGCCUCAGAUCUGGAUCUUUUCCUGCCCUGGGAGGCUCAAGGUCAGUCCCUGGAAGGCAGGGGCACCCCCUGUACCUCCUAACACUCUCCUGCACUAUCAGGAAGCCUGGAAGCUCUUUGUCCCAGGGACCCCUCUGGGACUUCAUCCUCUGGGGCAUAAGUUCUGAGAAGGACCCAGAAC
rnacentral:sRNA from 1 species